UUAGCCACAUCCAAGGAGACAAUAGAAUUAAAAGGAGUGGUGAGAGAUUUAUCCACCUUCUGCGUAGCACUAAUUUCCUCUCGAGACACAGAUGAAAGAACCGUAUCUAGCGAUGCAUCACCAGACAAAAGUGGAAGCAUGAAUGAAUUAGACAAAUCAUCCACCUCACCCACCUUGCGCGACUGAGCGCGAGUAACGGCGCAUGCGGGAAAAACAUCGGAGUAAUUUCCAAGGAUAAAGUCGACGCCUUUCACGGGAAGUGAGGAACAAACAGCCAC